GAUGAACGCUGGCGGCGUGCCUAAUACAUGCAAGUCGAGCGAACAGACGAGGAGCUUGCUCCUCUGACGUUAGCGGCGGACGGGUGAGUAACACGUGGAUAACCUACCUAUAAGACUGGGAUAACUUCGGGAAACCGGAGCUAAUACCGGAUAAUAUAUUGAACCGCAUGGUUCAAUAGUGAAAGACGGUUUUGCUGUCACUUAUAGAUGGAUCCGCGCCGCAUUAGCUAGUUGGUAAGGUAACGGCUUACCAAGGCAACGAUGCGUAGCCGACCUGAGAGGGUGAUCGGCCACCCGGGAACUGAGACACGGUCCAGACUCCUACGGGAGGCAGCAGUAGGGAAUCUUCCGCAAUGGGCGAAAGCCUGACGGAGCAACGCCGCGUGAGAGAUGAAGGUCUUCGGAUCGGAAAACUCUGUUAUUAGGGAAGAACAAAUGUGUAAGUAACUAUGCACGGCUUGACGGUACCUAAUCAGAAAGCCACGGCUAACUACGUG
rnacentral:rRNA from 1 species